rnacentral:lncRNA from 1 species
UUAGGGUAGCAAUAUCUUAAUUACCUCAACAAGGUAGAUACUCUUUCAAAUGACUCUGAUCACACCAAAUCCACUCUUUCAAACAAGCAUGCUGCAGAAUUCAACACGGGGCGGGCAUCCAUGGAGUAAUCUGGCAUCCAUACUAUACUACAGACUACAGACAUUGUAAUUUUGCAGCUCUAACAGCACACAAACAGACUGGUAGGUAAGGUAAUAAAACAAUACAUGACACUAUCUCCAUGUAUAGCAGAUGGAGAUAGGUAAUGAACAAUACAGACAAGCAUGAACCAAUCCGGGGAAAGCUAAGGAUAUGAACGGCAGAUGGGUAGCAAUACAGACACACAGGAUUAUCACCAUGUACAAAACAACACGGAGAUAAUGACUUCUCAGGUUAUUCAGCUGGUUGUAUUUCUUGAGGUCGAGAGGUAGAUGCCCCAGCAGCAGCAGCUUCAUGAGGCCUCCGGCGUCUCAAGGGUGGUGGGUCCUCGCUCCCAGGUAC